rnacentral:rRNA from 1 species
CCUACGGGGGGCGGCAGUAGGGAAUAUUGGUUAAUCUGGGAAACCGGGAACCAGCAACGCCGCGUGCACGAUGAAGGCCUUCGGGUUGUAAAGUGCUUUUUGAAAGGAUGAGGAAGGACAGUACUUUCAGAAUAAGCUUCGGCUAACUACGUGCCAGCAGCCGCGGUAAAACGUAGGAAGCGAGCGUUAUCCGGAUUUACUGGGCGUAAAGCGUGUGUAGGCGGUUUGACAAGUUGGAUGUGAAAGCUCCUGGCUUAACUGGGAGAGGUCGUUCAAAACUGUCAGACUUGAGAGUGGUAGAGGGAGGUGGAAUUCCGGGUGUAGUGGUGAAAUGCGUAGAUAUCCGGAGGAACACCAGUGGCGAAAGCGGCCUCCUGGCCCAUUUCUGACGCUCAGACACGAAAGCUAAGGUAGCAAACGGGAUUAGAGACCCCGGUAGUCUUAGCUGUAAACGAUGUGAACUUAGUGUCGGUGGGUUUAAAUCCAUCGGUACUGAAGCAAACGCGAUAAGUUCACCGCCUGGGGACUACGGCCGCAAGGUUAAAACUCAAAGGAAUUGACGGGGCCCCGCACAAGCAGCGGAGCGUGUGGUUUAAUUCGAUGCUACACGAAGAACCUUACCAGGGUUUGACAUGCUAGUGGUAGGAAGCCGAAAGGUGACCGACCCUUCGGGGAGCUAGCACAGGUGCUGCAUGGCUGUCGUCAGCUCGUGUCGUGAGAUGUUCGGUUAAGUCCGCUAACGAGCGCAACCCUCGCUGCGUGUUAUAAGUGUCACGUGGGACUGCCGGUCUUAAGCCGGAGGAAGGUGGGGAUGACGUCAAGUCAGCAUGGCCUUUAUGUCCUGGGCUACACACACGCUACAAUGGUCAGCACAAUAGGUUGCUAAGCCGCAAGGUAGAGCCAAUCCCUAAAGUUGGCCUCAGUUCAGAUUGUAGGCUGCAACUCGCCUGCAUGAAGAUGGAGUUGCUAGUAAACGCGCGUCAGCUAUAGUGCGUUGAAUACGUUCCCGGGGCUUGUACACACCGCCCGUCACGUCAUGGAAGUUGGCAACACCUGAAGCCGGUAUCCUAACCGCAAGGAGGGAGCCGUCGAAGGUGGGGUCGAUAACUGGGACGAAGUCGUAACAAGGUAACC